rnacentral:rRNA from 1 species
AAAAUAACCAUGAUUCCCUCAGUAACGGCGAGUGAAGCGGGAAAAGCUCAAAUUUGAAAUCUGUCAACAUUUCUUUUGUUGUCCGAGUUGUAAUUUCAAGAAGCUGCUUUGAGUGUAGACGAUCGGUCUAAGUUCCUUGGAACAGGACGUCAGAGAGGGUGAGAACCCCGUCUUUGGUCGAUUGGAUAUGCCAUAUAAAGCGCUUUCGAAGAGUCGAGUUGUUUGGGAAUGCAGCUCUAAAUGGGUGGUAAAUUUCAUCUAAAGCUAAAUAUUGGCGAGAGACCGAUAGCGAACAAGUAGAGUGAUCGAAAGAUGAAAAGAACUUUGAAAAGAGAGUUAAAUAGUACGUGAAAUUGCUGAAAGGGAAGCAUUGGAAAUCAGUCUUACCUGGGUGAGAUCAGUAGUCUCUUCGCGAGACUAUGCACUCUGAACCUGUGGUAGGUCAGCAUCAGUUUUCGGGGGCGGAAAAAGAAUAAGGGAAGGUGGCUUUCCGGGUUCUGCCUGGGGAGUGUUUAUAGCCCUUGUUGUAAUACGUCCACUGGGGACUGAGGACUGCGGCUUCGUGCCAAGGAUGCUGACAUAAUGGUUUUCAAUGG